CUGGAGAAGGGGCUGAGGGAGCCUGUGGUGCUGCGGGGACUCUUGGAGAAGUUGGUCCAGGACCUGCACUGGGGGCCAUCCCAUCCUGGAGGGACCCCAAGAUGCCAGUGGGAACCACGUGGAUGGCUUCCCUGCGUGCUAUUGGAAGGACGGCAAGGAGAGAUGUGCUGACUCCAGCUCCAGAUCUCCCUGGUUUUCUUAACAGCAAGAUCCCCAGAGCAGGAACAUCAGGAGCCCUCAGUGCCUCCACGCCACAGGGACAGGAGAUGGUUUUGCUCAGGCUGUGUCUGAGAGCGGGGUUUGCUGCCCGGCAGAGCCAACAGCACCGAGCAGUUCCUCCCAUCUCCCCGAGAGUUCCACUUGCUCCAGAGGCUGCUGCCAGUGCCAGAGACCUCUGAGACCUGGGCCAAGCUCUUGCACCACGGGGAGAAGGUGGAACUUGAUCUUAAGCAAAACAGAAAUGUCGCCAAGGGUUUCAAGUGAAAACUGCAGUUGGAAGGAGUGAAGUUUCCACCUCCUCGGCUCUUCUGGACAAGCUGGGGCUGUGGGGCCUGGGCACCUGGGGGCUGCCCAUUGCACCCAGUACAGGCUGGGAGAAGCAGCUGGACACCCCCAGGAAAGGGAAAUAAGGGAACACCUUCAGCAAUGUCCUGUGUGGUUGUUUUUUGCUGUUUUCUUUUCUCC